CCUACGGGAGGCAGCAGUGAGGAAUAUUGGUCAAUGGGCGGGAGCCUGAACCAGCCAAGCCGCGUGAGGGAAGACGGUACAGCGUAUCGUAAACCUCUUUUGUCAGGGAACAAAGGCGGGGACUAGUCCCCGGAUGAGGGUACCUGAAGAAAAAGCAUCGGCUAACUCCGUGCCAGCAGCCGCGGUAAUACGGAGGAUGCGAGCGUUAUCCGGAUUUAGUGGGUUUAAAGGGUGCGCAGGCGGCCUGUUACGUCAGCGGUAAAAGUCCGGGGCUCAACCCCGGCGAGCCGUUGAAACGGGCAGGUUUGAGUUGGGGAGAAGUACGCGGAAUGCGCGGUGUAGCGGUGAAAUGCUUAGAGAUCGCGCAGAACCCCCAUUGCGAAGGCAGCGUACCGGCUCCACACUGACGCUGAGGCACGAAAGCGUGGGGAUCGAACAGGAUUAGAUACCCCUGUAGUC
rnacentral:rRNA from 1 species